rnacentral:ncRNA from 1 species
GAGAAAGCGUUGAUGAGGGGAAGUAAGCGAAGUUUCCGUUCUGCAGAAAGCCGGUGGUUGAUGCGAACCGGUGAAGGAGCUUGUGCCGAAUGGGCCUCGGAGCGCCAGGUUGAACGCAAGAGGCGGCGAGCCUGUUGUCAGUAGGCCGGCCGGGUCAUCCACGUUACGGAUUGGAAAGGCUGAUCUUGUUGAGGCAUCGCGUCUAAGCUGACCGCGAACCCCAAUGCUCCAACCAUCAGCAAAUAAGGGUGGCACCACGGUCUCACGUCCCUUGC